AUUCACAUAAAAUUCCAAUGAAAUCUAUUUUGAUAAACCAAUGGCAAGUUAUGUACUGCAUUGUUGACACUUUAUGCCUUUGCUAUGACUAGUGCCAUUCAUCAUAACUGUAGGAACACUUCCAACUACUGGUUAAAGCGUCUUUACUCUUAAAACAACAAAGGAUAUGAGUUUUAAGACAUAGUUUUCAACUUUUCGUAAGCAUCAUGUCUAGGGUGGAGAAGAGUGAUCUUGGAAACAAACUGGCUGUAAGAAGGCAAAUUGAAGGCUAAAGGAGUUGUCAGUUCCUAUCUGAAACAAUGAAGUGGAAUAGAUCCCUAUGGAUGAUACGCAGUCGUGAAUGCUCAUGAAGGGCCAAGUGUUUAGUAGUACUUCUACUACAGAGGGGAAGGCAUACAAUUAAACAUUAGCAAAUUACUCCAGAAACCUACCGAAAAUGAAGUAG